rnacentral:lncRNA from 1 species
GAAAAGGUUGAUUCUUGAGAGAUUUCCUGCCCUCUUCAUUAUUAUUUUUCUGUUCUUUCUCAGACUUGGCUUUCCUAGAAUUUAAAAUUUGAAUUCUUGAGGCCAAGCGAAAGUUUGAAUUCGGCUAUAAAAAGAGACCUAUGGUUCUCUUCCAAAAAAAAUUCAUCCAAAAAAUGGGACAAGAUCAGAGAGAAUCACCAAGGC